GUCUAUAAUGCAGUCGAACGCGCAGCGAGAGGUGCUUGCACCUUUCAAGCGAGUGGCGAAGGGGGAGUAACACGUGGAUAACCUGCCUCAAGGCUGGGGAUAACAUUUGGAAACAGAUGCUAAUACCGAAUAAAACUUAGUAUCGCAUGAUAUCAAGUUAAAAGGCGCUACGGCGUCACCUAGAGAUGGAUCCGCGGUGCAUUAGUUAGUUGGUGGGGUAAAGGCUUACCAAGACAAUGAUGCAUAGCCGAGUUGAGAGACUGAUCGGCCACAUUGGGACUGAGACACGGCCCAAACUCCUACGGGAGGCUGCAGUAGGGAAUCUUCCACAAUGGGCGCAAGCCUGAUGGAGCAACGCCGCGUGUGUGAUGAAGGCUUUCGGGUCGUAAAGCACUGUUGUAUGGGAAGAAUUUCUAAAAUAGGGAAUGAUUUUAGUUUGACGGUACCAUACCAGAAAGGGACGGCUAAAUACGUGCCAGCAGCCGCGGUAAUACGUAUGUCCCGAGCGUUAUCCGGAUUUAUUGGGCGUAAAGCGAGCGCAGACGGUUGAUUAAGUCUGAUGUGAAAGCCCGGAGCUCAACUCCGGAAUGGCAUUGGAAACUGGUUAACUUGAGUGUUGUAGAGGUAGUGGAACUCCAUGUGUAGCGGUGGAAUGCGUAGAUAUAUGGAAGAACACCAGUGGCGAAGCGGCUUUACUGGACCACAACUGACGUUGAGGCUCGAAAGUGUGGGUAGCAAACAGGAUUAGAUACCCUGGUAG
rnacentral:rRNA from 1 species